rnacentral:lncRNA from 1 species
UUGUGCUGUUCGCUGAUAGCAGUAUGCUGCAAAAUAAUACCCCAUAGAAAUAAUGAUUCUGUUUACUCAUGAUAUGCUAGUAAAUGUUUAAAUUGAGCACCUUAAUAUAUCAUUUUAUCUCAGUACCUGUUUUCUCAGUACAAUAAAAUUUGAUCAUAUGUUUACGGGUCAACAAUUAUGUUUGUUUAAACCUUCUAUACAUUUAUAUGUGGUUUGGUUAUCAAUUAGAUACCUCCAAUUUCAUUUUGAAAGAUUUUUUUCCAAAUUAACACAAAACUUCCAAUAAUGUAGUGUAGUGGCAGUUUUAACCAUUCAAGUCAAACCAAAAUGCUGAUUAGAUAAGAAAAUCAUUAAGCAGCAUCUACUACCAUAAUAAUUCAGUAGAUAACCAAAAUAGUUAAUGAUAAAACUUGUAACUGGUUCAAUAAUUUAAUUGCAUAUGGAACAAAAGUCAUCUACCAUUUAUUGAUCUCUUCGGCACAAUCUUUCACUUCACAGGAAUUUAAAUGCAUUCAGUAACAGCUAACAUGCACAACUACAAUGUCAUAUUUGUUUCAUUUUCCCAGAACUCUUGACACAAUUACAAUCAGAGAACAUCGUAUCAAAUAGAUCUAAAGGUAUUAGUAAUUCCAUUCCAAGAAAAC